GACGAUACGUGAAGUGUAAAAAUCGCUACAUUUACCUCGUUAUGUACGAGAGGUGAAGGAGCGUGAGGCGUGCUGAAGCGUAUAGGAAAACAUAAUCGGUGCGAAGAUUCAAAACAUCUUCA